UCCCAAUGGAAAGGAAGAAAUGGCAGGGCAGCUGGAGUCUCCACCUGAAGCUUGGGUUUCUCUCCUUUUCCAG
ensembl:miRNA